rnacentral:rRNA from 1 species
GAUGAACGCUGGCGGUAUGCUUAACACAUGCAAGUCGAACGGACUCUUCGGAGUUAGUGGCGGACGGGUGAGUAACGCGUGAGAAUCUGGCUUUGGGUUCGGGACAACCACUGGAAACGGUGGCUAAUACCGGAUGUGCCGAGAGGUAAAAGAGAAAUUGCCUGCAGAUGAGCUCGCGUCUGAUUAGCUAGUUGGUGAGGUAAAGGCUCACCAAGGCAGCGAUCAGUAGCUGGUCUGAGAGGAUGACCAGCCACACUGGGACUGAGACACGGCCCAGACUCCUACGGGAGGGAGCAGUGGGAAAUUUUCCGCAAUGGGCGAGAGCCUGACGGAGCAAUAGCGCGUGAGAGAAGAAGGCUCUUGGGUUGUAAACCUCUUUUCUUAGGGAAGAACAAAAUGACGGUACCUAAGGAAUCAGCAUCGGCUAACUCCGUG